rnacentral:rRNA from 1 species
GGGUGCGAGCGUUGUCCGGAAUCACUGGGCGUAAAGGGCGCGUAGGCGGCCCGGUAAGUCGGGGGUGAAAUCUUGCGGCUCAACCGCAAGGCUGCCUUCUAAACUGCCAGGCUCGAGCACAGUAGAGGCAGGUGGAAUUCCCGGUGUAGCGGUGGAAUGCGUAGAGAUCGGGAAGAACAUCGGUGGCGAAGGCGGCCUGCUGGGCUGUUGCUGACGCUGAGGCGCGACAGCGUGGGGAGCAAACAGG